rnacentral:tRNA from 2 species
GGGCGGUUAGCUCAGUUGGUUAGAGCGCUUCGUUCACACCGAAGAGGUCGGCGGUUCGAGUCCGCCAUCGCCCACCA